CCCGCCGGCGACCGGCGCACGGGUGAGUAACACGUAUGAAACCUGCCCGUAGCAGGGGGAUAAGCGGAAGAAAUUCCGUCUAAUACCGCGUAACAACCCAUGGAGGCAUCUCUGUGGGUUUAAAGGAAGCGAUUCCGGCUACGGAUGGUCAUGCGUCGCAUUAGCUUGUUGGCGGGGUAACGGCCCACCAAGGCGACGAUGCGUAGGGGUUCUGAGAGGAAGGUCCCCACACUGGUACUGAGACACGGACCAGACUCCUACGGAAGGCAGCAG
rnacentral:rRNA from 1 species